GAUGAACGCUGGCGGCGUGCCUAAUACAUGCAAGUCGAGCGAACAGAUAAGGAGCUUGCUCCUUUGACGUUAGCGGCGGACGGGUGAGUAACACGUGGGUAACCUACCUAUAAGACUCGGAUAACUUCGGGAAACCGGAGCUAAUACCGGAUAACAUUUGGAACCGCAUGGUUCUAAAGUGAAAGAUGGUUUUGCUAUCACUUAUAGAUGGACCCGCGCCGUAUUAGCUAGUUGGUAAGGUAACGGCUUACCAAGGCGACGAUACGUAGCCGACCUGAGAGGGUGAUCGGCCACACUGGAACUGAGACACGGUCCAGACUCCUACGGGAGGCAGCAGUAGGGAAUCUUCCGCAAUGGGCGAAAGCCUGACGGAGCAACGCCGCGUGAGUGAUGAAGGGGUUCGGCUCGUAAAACUCUGUUAUUAGGGAAGAACAAAUGUGUAAGUAACUGUGCACGUCUUGACGGUACCUAAUCAGAAAGCCACGGCUAACUACGUG
rnacentral:rRNA from 1 species